UGGCCCCGUGGUAGUAUACACUCCACACGGCAAUCCACUUCGGCACCCAAUCCUGCACGGGCGAGCAACUGUCGCGUAGGCCAACUCCGGAGUGCCGGCUUGUAGGGAGCGACCCUCACAAGCGUGUGCGAAUGAGCACGAUGGCAAGCAAGCAUAUUCCACUGUCCACAUGUCUCCAUUAUCAUAUUUUCAUUUGCAAUGUUCUCAGUCUCGAUCCUCGAUCGGAAUUUCAAUAUAACAACAAUUAACAACAACUAGAAUCCACUAGUUUAGUAAGCAUGCAAGAGUAAUGCUAAUUUACACCUGGCAUUAGAAUCUUUUC
rnacentral:lncRNA from 1 species